rnacentral:rRNA from 1 species
UACGAAGGGGACUAGCGUUGUUCGGAAUCACUGGGCGUAAAGCGCACGUAGGCGGAUUUGUAAGUCAGGGGGUGAAAUCCCGGGGCUCAACCUCGGAACUGCCUUUGAUACUGCGAAUCUUGAGUCCGAUAGAGGUGGGUGGAAUUCCUAGUGUAGAGGUGAAAUUCGUAGAUAUUAGGAAGAACACCGGUGGCGAAGGCGGCCCACUGGAUCGGUACUGACGCUGAGGUGCGAAAGCGUGGGGAGCAAACAGG